rnacentral:lncRNA from 13 species
CCCCACUCCUUCCCUCCCUCAUGGCCCCAGGGGCUGCAAUGCUGCGUUGCCUCAGGGAGCAGGGGGCACCAACAUUUUAGAAAGUUUUGGGAUGUUUUGGCUUUGCUUUUGAAAUUUGGAGAAUGGUGUGUGACAAAAGAAUAUUCUACCCCAAAAUUCUUCCUUCUCCAAACAUGGCAUGUUGUUGCAUUUGUUACUGCUGGCCGUUGCCACUGUCACUGUCGAGCUCACGGCUCUUGGGCUGCACCAUGACCAGAUUCCUGCUCCUCGGGAGCACUAAACUGGGAUGAAAUGUGUCCCUAUUACCACUUGCUCGUCCCUGGCUGUUUUCCUGGGGUGUUGGCCCCACUGCGGCUCAGCAGAUGUGGGGCCGUGGGUCUCCGGUGUGGUACGGGCACACCUGAACCUGGGAAACCUUCCCGGGAGACAGGGCCGAGCACCUGCCCUGGCUCCCAGCCUGCGACAGCCCGCGGGCACACCCCGAGGAAAGAGGGAAGUGGCUUUUCCAGGAGCCAUCCGGUUGUGUGCUGGCUCGGGACAACCUCCCUGCGGAGCUGCGGGUGCGCUAUCAGCCGGACGCUCCCGCUGCCACAAUCACUGCUUAUAUUUCUGUAUUGGGUGGGGAGUGGAAACCCGGCGUCCCCUUCCCGUAUAAACAAGAGGGAUUCGUUAUCCAGGGCCCCAGUGCUCGGAAUCGUACUAAUGGAGCUCCCACCCCUCUCCAUCUCUUCUGAUCUCUAUCGAGCUCUCCAUGGAAAUGGGAUCAGCAUCAUCCCCGCGAGUCUCACAGCCAUGCUGGUGUUAGCAGCGCGAUGGAUGCCGGGGCUCCGAGCUGGCACCCAAGUAGCUGUGCCCUCCCCGGACCGAGAGGAUGGCCCGAUCCCUGUCUCCUCCCCGGACUCAGAGGGUGCUCCAUGCUUAAGGGACGGGUUGGCCCUUCCCGUCCCAGGACCUGCGGCUCCUGUACAGCAGCAGGGCAGGUUCCUGGCGCUCUCGCUGCCCAGCACUGCUGCUCCAGUGCCCGCUGACAUCCGAGGGGGCAGCGGGACAGAGCAGGAGAGCUGCACGGCAGGGACUGG